AAUUUCGUCGUAUUUUUUGCCAAUUCCUCCACCUGUAGAGGCUAGGGCCAUGGUGAGGGCGGCAGUGAGUGUAGUCUUGCCAUGGUCGACAUGGCCGAUAGUUCCGAUGUUGACAUGGGGUUUAGUUCGCUCGAAUUUCCCCCGAGCAGCGCGUACGGUGAGAGAGCGGCGGCGGUGAGAAGCGUUGGCGGAGGAUGAAGAAGGGUUGUGGAGGAAAAGGUUUGUGGAAGAUUUAGAGACAAACGAAGAAGAAAGCAGUAUUCUGGUGGUGGGUUUCUGAAGGGUAAAAAGAGGGGACGAAGAAGAAGAAGAUGAGGAAGGCGUGGCGUAUGUAAAUGAAGCUGCAGCGGUGGCUGCGGCGGAGAUGGACGCCAUUUACAGAGGGCAAGAAGAUAGGAUUUGGGGAAGAAGAUGGAUAGGGUGAAUGUGUGUGGCUAGACGAAUGGGGG
rnacentral:lncRNA from 1 species